CAGCAGCCGCGGUAAUACGUAGGUGGCAAGCGUUGUCCGGAAUCAUUGGGCGUAAAGCGCGCGCAGGCGGUCCUUUAAGUCUGAUGUGAAAUCUUGCGGCUCAACCGUAAGCGGUCAUUGGAAACUGGGGGACUUGAGUGCAGGAGAGGAAAGCGGAAUUCCAUGUGUAGCGGUGAAAUGCGUAGAGAUGUGGAGGAACACCAGUGGCGAAGGCGGCUCUCUGGCCUGUAACUGACGCUGAGGCGCGAAAGCGUGGGGAGCAAACAGGAUUAGAUACCCUGGUAGUCCACGCCGUAAACGAUGAGUGCUAAGUGUUAGAGGGGUCACACCCUUUAGUGCUGCAGCUAACGCGAUAAGCACUCCGCCUGGGGAGUACGGCCGCAAGGCUGAAACUUAAAGGAAUUGGCGGG
rnacentral:rRNA from 1 species